rnacentral:rRNA from 1 species
GAUCAUGGCUCAGGAUGAACGCUAGCGGCAGGCUUAACACAUGCAAGUCGAGGGGCAGCGCGGGAUAGCAAUAUCCUGGCGGCGACCGGCGGAAAGGUGCGUAACGCGUGAGCGACAUGCCCGUUGCCCGGGGACAACCGGUGGAAACGCCGACUAAUCCCCGAUGGGAUACGAUGCCUCAUGGCAUUGUAUUGAAAGUUACGGCGGCGACGGAUUGGCUCGCGUCCGAUUAG